GGGUCAUUUCCUCACCGAUGGUGAUUUCCUGUGUGAAAUUAACACUUUCUCCCUGCAUCUCCCAUCUCUUGUGGUAUAUGCACAGAAAUGCAGCCUCCUGCCUCUUGGGCCGGAUUUGGGGAGUCAGUGUUCCCAUGGCGGUGGCUGUCAGGGACAUGCAGAGCUGGGGAUGUGAUGAACAUUACACCUUGAGCAUAAACAACUCGCUCGCCUGUUCACCUUGUAGUAACGUGGUCUAGACCGUUUCCUUUGGUGGCUGCAUGAGGCAGGGUUACUCAAGUGAAGAUGCAGCACAUCUGUGACUUCUCUUUCCUAGCUGCCAGGCCAGCUGCCUUAUCAAAGAGAGAAAUGGAGCUGGAUAGACAGGGCUUGUUUUUGUAAGCCUGUACUGCUUUAGGAUCACGUGGGCCUUUAAGAUUAAUUAAUGCUGUAUUUGGAUGUCUCCCUAGAUAUUGGUAAUAGGUUCUCUGGCCCUGUGGGCCCUCUCCUGUGCCCUGCAGUUUAUAAAGUCGCCCACUGACAGCCAUUUGAUUGGUUUCUUGAAGGCUCCAGAGUAAAUUUUACUUGUCCCUGCUGACUCUGAAUUCCUCUCAUCUCUCUUAACUAUUGUUUAAGCUGCUCUCUUCCUCAUCUGGCCUGUAUUUCCUGUCUCUGGUUGUUACUAUGGAACGUGUUAAUAACCAUCUGGAUGCCAUUAACAUAUUCUGUGAGAACAGAAGCAGGAUAAAAAGUGGAAAUUGCAGACAGAGCCUAUGCAGAAAUAAAUCUGUGUUCUUUCGUGUUUGCACCAGGAGCAACCUCCCAGAGGAAGGCAUCUUGCACCCUUCUCGUGCUUGUGAAACAGACCACUAGCACUGAUUAAUACCAGUAAGGGCUGGGUGAAUCCACAGAGUGUAUGUGAGGCUCUUUUGAACAGUCACCAGCAGAUGAAGUAAUUGGAGGCCUCACCCACACCACAGUUUAUUCAGCCAGCUGCUGUAGGUCUUCUAACAGAGGUGCUUUUUAAUAUGCACAAACAUGUCACUAAGUCAAGCACUGAAAAUGUCAGUUUGAUUUUGCCACGCUACCCACAAAGUAUGAUGUGUUUUCUGUUGUGUGCUGUUGUCAAGGUGAAGAAAUGCACCAACGUGGGGGUUUAAUUACUUUGAUCUUGAGCUCUGAUACAAGCUGUAAGGGAAACAUUGCCCUAGAUGAAUAAAGAGAUGGUGCAACAGCUGAUCAGGCCUCUGGUGAGGAGCCAAGCUCUUCUAAAGCAAGGAGGUGAUUUCAGUCUUGUUCCAAUCUCUAGUUUCUUCGAUCCUGUUACUCAGUUCCUACAGAGCCUUCUGCUAGGAGCAAGCAAACACCAGGAGACAAGAAAAGACAUGUAUUGCCUGAAAUGCAGUGGUCAGGAGGUCUAACAUCAUAUAUUGCUGAAGAGAUGGUCAGCUCCAGAUGGUAGGUACUCAAGCCUACAUGGUGGGGGUGGAUGAAGGGAGGCCAAUAAAAAAGAGGUAAGUAUUUGCCAGCAGUACAAAGGUGUGGAUAAUGAUGGUGAAAACACCCAGGAUGUGAUGUAGACAGAAAAAAGACAUGAGAGAGAGAGAGAAACUUCUUCAGGAGUAUCUCAAAGAGCAGCAGGAUUAGAGAAUGAGUCUACAGGCUGCAAAAGGAGAAGACUUACACAGAUCCUGGAAAGUUGGAGGGCUUGAUAAGGUAUCUGAAUCCCUGUGGAUGAUUCAAGUAAAUGCUAAUGGUGAAUUCCAUAUGCAUCAGAUAUACCUGGUCUCUACACAGCGAUUCCUUGUUGCCCAACAGGGGAAUCUGUUGUGUUUUUCAGUAACUUCCCAUGUUGCUGUUUAAUUUAAAAGGGAAGCUCAGAGUCCAUGGUUGGUGAUAUUGGAGUUGCUGCUCGGACCAGACUGUUUCCCAUUACACUUCCCUGAAAGCAUCCCACUAGAAUCCCUCCUUUUGUAAUGUUGGGGUGGCAGUGGCUGAAUUCAAAGGGAGUGCUGCACAUAACAAAGCUAGCCUGGAAAGCUGACAUAAAAAAGCCAGAGGCCCUGAUGACUCAGGUAUUAAUGUACUCCACUUCAUCAGAAUAAGCUGCCAUCUGAUAAACUGUGCUCACUCCAGAUACAGAAGCAAGAGCUUUUAAUUUUAUGCAGCCUCUCUACUGGAGACUGACAGUACCAAGAAGAAACUGGGUUAAACGCAGAUACAUCUUCAGCAUGUCUAAUGUGCUGAGGAAUGUCUUAGAGCCAGAAGGAGCUCCGCUACUGUUGCAGACAUGGAGGAAUAAAUGUUGUAGCAUUUAGGAACAAUGGGAGAGAUUUAGCACCCCUGCUUUAUGGGCCGCCUUUAUGUUGUGACAGUGUCUUGGUGGUGGUUGUUAAGAAACUGUCCUAGACAGAGCUACCCUGAUCCACUACCCUGAUGCAGCCACUUUUCCUUCCUGCACUCCCCUUCUUCUCACACUUUGUAUGCCCUGGCAUGCAGUAGUGGCCCAGCUCGCUCUCAUCUCUGAAGGAAAAUGUGGGUAUUGUCCUCCAGUGUCAGACCAGGCAACCAUCCUGCCCUAUGUCUUGCUUCUAGCAAGGAUGCAGCAUGCCAGGUGGUGGCCUGGGAGCGCAGAGGUGGGCCACCCAUCUGCCUUCUCUACUUGGGUCUGAUCCUGAGCUCUAAUAGUUAGCAUUUGGUUCAAAAUUGUCAUGUGUGUUAAUUUUGAAAGCCCCUAAUGUUGCCCUAUGAAACUGCCAACCUGUUCUACGUCUUUCUAAGCCCCUGUCUUGAAAGGUUUCUUGUGGCUUUGAGCACCACGCUCCACUUACACAUGCUAUUGGCAUGAAAAAUUCAGUCUUAAUAUCCCUUCACAUCACUGAAGACAAGAAGAGCAGAAACUCUCCAUCUGCUCUCUCUGCAGUGUUAUUUUAUAUUUCUUUUAUACCCUUUGCUUCCCCCAAAGAGAGCUUUACCUUGAUCUUUGGUUGUUCCUGUCGUUGUUUAAUGCUGCUCUUUUAGAGACAAGAUUACCCACUACACACAGUGUUCCUGGGGGACCUGCCCCUCUAAUUACAUUUAAUCAUUAUUUUCCCUCAUAUUCCCUACGGAUCCAAAUACCUUGUUCAUUUUUUUACUUGCAGUUCAAGCUGAGCAAAGGUUUUCUGUGAAAGCUUCUGAAGGCUCGUGAUACCAGAACCCUGCAAGCAAGGACCUUCUAAAAAUACCACAGCAUCCCAGGAAAGGAGCCCAGAUAUUACUAGAGAUAACCCAGCUUUUACAAUAGUUGGCUACUAGUUCUGCCACUAAGCAAUAAUACGCAUUUCCCUACUUUUUAUUGUCUCUUGCAUUCUCUCUUAUCUGGGAAAACUCUGAGGUACUUUGUUCUUUUUACUGCUUAUUUUCUACAUCACAAAACCCACUGUUUCCCUUCUUUCUUUUACAGGAAGACUUCUGAACCAGAAUGAGUGUAGGAAAAUACCCUGUCAUGUUUCUGUUGUUCUUCAAGAAUGCCAAUUUAACUCACAGAGCUGAAAAAGUAGCAGUAGAAAAUUUUUCCUGGCUAAAACUGCUGGGGAUUGGACUUGUUUACCUAGGAGAGACUUUGUAGGACCACGUCCCAUAUGCACAGGAAUAAGGAUGUUUGUCAUUUCAUGUCACCGGGGCACUGUACCACGCUGGCAGCGCUGAGUCACGCUUCCCUGCAAAGCCAACGUGGCCCUUGGCAGUCAGAAGGAAGCAGAGGUAACUGAAACGCUGCAGUCAGAAGACUUACCAUAAAAGCAUACUUCAUGGAAAUAAGAUGUACUUGAAGAGGUGGACAGGCAACACAUCAAGUGAACUAUGGUUGACUGACUCACAAUUUUCUCACCCAACUCUGCUGGUAAACCAAUGGCUGUUCUUAUCUGCAAAGAACCGUCAGCACAUUCAGGCUGCAAAUAUGAGAGUUCACAAGAGCAGACAGGCUGUGUGUCCUGGGGGAGUUUAAAACAGCCUUUCUUCUCAAAGUCACUAGAAAUCACGCACCGAGUAUCUACAGAUCCAGGGGGAGGAGGUAUCUUGGCCUGGACUGGCGUUGUUACUGCCACUGUGAUGUUUAGCCAAAAGAUGACAGUCAGAAAAGCAAGCAGUAGGAGGUAACUGCACCUCUGUCACCCUUUCCUUCUGGUCCACAAAUAUUAUGCAGCAUUAGUUUAAUCUUUCCAAAAGGAACAGAGGGCUUUGCCGCUAAUACAAAAUGCAACAGAACAAUAACAUUAACUUGGAGAUAACACCAAUGAAGCACAAGGUAGAAAAUCAAACACGAAAUCAAACAAUUUGUUACUUUCCCUGUGUGAGCGGGUAACAAGGCUCUCUUCAUUGCAACUGAGAAAUAUUAAAGGUCAUGGGAGGGGGCAUGGCUAAAAGGUCACUUUGAGGGUAUGGCUUUCCCCUGUGUCUCUGGCAAAAUUAAUCACUGCGGUUUUGAACAUACCUCUUUGGUGAAAGAGAAACACAGACCUGAGGUUUUCAGCCAGAUCAGUACUUCCUGGGUAAAUGUCAACUGAGGGCUAAGUCCAGCUCUACAUAAAGGUCAUUUCAUGCUAAGUGAGUGAUGCAGAAUUUCUUUUUAAAGCUGCUCUGAGUAAUCAAUUGAGAUUACCCUGGCAGGAUGUCUCCCCGACUUGGGUGAAGAUGGUUCAAGAUCAGAGUUCUGAAUAUCAGCAGCUGAGUGCUGAAGUCAGUCCUACACAGCUGGACUUGGCCCCAGCUCCAUUUGUAAACCAGGACCAGACACACUGCAGUGUCAAGUGUGUCAGCCUAUGAUUCAUCCAAGCGAGGCACAGAAAAUAGUAUCCACACUGCAGAACUCACCUUCAGCCUCAAGCUGACCCAUAGGGCUGGAGAGGGGAAACCCGAUUGACCACUGAGGCUGUGGGAAGGGCUUUCCCUUCACAACUAGCAUCUGUAGUUAAUAACCACCCAUAGCUGCUCCUCUUCUGGGGAUUCCCUUUCUUUUCCCCUUUCCCCUCCCUUCCCAUCCCCUCCCAUCUGUUUCUUCGCCAGUGGAAAGUGGUUGUGCAGAUACUCCCAGGUCCCUUUCCAAAGUCAGGCUGCUGAAAGCAAACAAUGAGUGUGAUUUAGGCAAACCCAAACUUUCCAUCUCACUGGUGAGUGCUUGCAGGAGCCAUGGGGAUACCCCCACCCAGCUGGCAGCAACGCUGAGGCAGCAGGGCAGGAACGCCAACCUCAGCCCACACAGCUGAGGACAUUCGUCUGACACUACAGUACGUAACACAAAGCAGAACCGUGGUGGAGGACAGGGCUGACACAGCCUCCAUCCCUCCCACAGCCUCUGUGAUUUCAUUGACAUUAUCCAUGUGAGAAAAUUCUGCAAACUCAGUCUUUCUGCAGUCUGGAUCUAUACACAGUGAUCAGUUUUAUGUUAUGCCCAUGAUCUCUCACUUUAUUGCAACUAUAUCUUGUUCUAGGGGUUAGAAGACAGACUGUAACUAAUGUGAUCCCCAAGCAAAAAAAAAAUCCCAAAUCCACCACACUUUACCCGUGAGAAACACGUUCAUUGUGUGUCUGCAGUCUGAACACAGUUAAGAUUUAUGGACAAAGAGGUUUCUGCCAGGUAGUGGAAAAGAUGCUAUGAAAAAAUUGUGAGUGACAUUUGCAGGUUGCUGCAGAGAAAUUCCCAUUGGCUUUCUAACAAGCAUUUCAUAUUUAACAUGGGGUUUUUUACUCCUUUGCUGUUCCAUCUUUCAGUAAAGCCUGUUUGAGCUGUGCUGAGCUGUUAUUAAUUCCAGCACCUCAGUAAGCCAAAGACGGUAUUUCGAAGCAUGAGAAGGUACAUCUUUAUUUUCUAAAGCUGUCUAGGAGAGGUACAAUGGAUGCAAAGAGGGUGCAGCAGUGGUGGUGAUGAUCACUGAUGUUAAAGCCAACAGUUACGAAGUAACAGCAAUAUUCAACUAGUAUUUCUUUCUAGUAGUGUCACAUUUUGUGCUCUUUAAGCUCCUUGUAUAAAACAGUUACCGCUUGCUGGGUAAGAUGAGAUCAGAUUUCAUUGCAAUUUCACAUACAAAGCAGCAAAUGGAGCUAUUUCAGCUUACGUCAGUGUCUCCCAGACUAUCAUACACAUGUGAGCGGCAGUCAGCCGGCCAGGCUGAGUAGCCUUCAGUCCGCAUAGGAGCACGUUAAGCUGUGCUUUCAAUAAGCUUUGCAAUGAAAAGUUUGGUGCUGCAUGAGCUGCAAGCCACAGUCAUUGUAAAAACAGCCAGGAAUAGUCUGCUGCAAAAAAGCUUGGGAUGCACAGCAGCAGUUUUCCCUCUCCAGUUGUGGUUUUAGGGCGUUAACACUAAUCAACAAUAGCAACAACAACAAAAACACCCAAAACUCCAUCUGGGCAUGAAAC